UACGGAGGGUGCAAGCGUUAUCCGGAUUCACUGGGUUUAAAGGGUGCGUAGGUGGGCAGGUAAGUCAGUGGUGAAAUCUCCGGGCUUAACCCGGAAACUGCCAUUGAUACUAUCUGUCUUGAAUACCGUGGAGGUGAGCGGAAUAUGUCAUGUAGCGGUGAAAUGCUUAGAUAUGACAUAGAACACCAAUUGCGAAGGCAGCUCACUACGCGAAUAUUGACACUGAGGCACGAAAGCGUGGGGAU
rnacentral:rRNA from 1 species